rnacentral:rRNA from 1 species
GAUGAACGCUAGCGAUAGGCUUAACACAUGCAAGUCGAGGGGCAGCACAAGGUAGCUUGCUAUCUGGGUGGCGACCGGCGCACGGGUGCGUAACGCGUAUGCAACUUGCCCUAUACAGGAGGAUAACCCGUCGAAAGACGGACUAAUACUGCGUAUGCUCACAACUUGGCAUCAAGUGGUGAGGAAAGAAAUUCGGUAUAGGAUAGGCAUGCGUCCCAUUAGCUUGUUGGUGAGGUAACGGCUCACCAAGUCAACGAUGGGUAGGGGAACUGAGAGGUUUAUGCCCCACACGGGUACUGAGACACGGACCAGACUCAUACGGGAGGCAGCAGUGAGGAAUAUUGGUCAAUGGGCGCGAGCCUGAACCAGCCAAGUCGCGUGAAGGAUGACUGUCUUAGGGAUUGUAAACUUCUUUUAGACGGGAAUAACAAGAGUCACGUGUGACUCCCUGCAUGUACCGUAUGAAUAAGCAUCGGCUAACUCCGUG